rnacentral:tRNA from 1 species
GGGCUCGUAGUGUAGCGGUUAACACGCGUCCCUGUCAAGGACGAAAUCGGCGGUUCGAUUCCGCUCGGGCCCG